GCUUGGGAACUUGCCUUUGCGAGGGGGAUAACAGUUGGAAACGACUGCUAAUACCGCAUAAUGUCUUCGGACCAAACGGGGCUUCGGCUCCGGCGCAAAGAGAGGCCCAAGUGAGAUUAGCUAGUUGGUAAGGUAACGGCUUACCAAGGCGACGAUCUCUAGCUGUUCUGAGAGGAAGAUCAGCCACACUGGGACUGAGACACGGCCCAGACUCCUACGGGAGGCAGCAGUGGGGAAUAUUGCACAAUGGGGGAAACCCUGAUGCAGCCAUGCCGCGUGUGUGAAGAAGGCCUUCGGGUUGUAAAGCACUUUCAGUUGUGAGGAAAAGUUAGUAGUUAAUACCUGCUAGCCGUGACGUUAACAACAGAAGAAGCACCGGCUAACUCCGUGCCAGCAGCCGCGGUAAUACGGAGGGUGCGAGCGUUAAUCGGAAUUACUGGGCGUAAAGCGCACGCAGGCGGUUUGUUAAGCUAGAUGUGAAAGCCCCGGGCUCAACCUGGGAUGGUCAUUUAGAACUGGCAGACUAGAGUCUUGGAGAGGGGAGUGGAAUUCCAGGUGUAGCGGUGAAAUGCGUAGAUAUCUGGAGGAACAUCAGUGGCGAAGGCGACUCCCUGGCCAAAGACUGACGCUCAUGUGCGAAAGUGUGGGUAGCGAACAGGAUUAGAU
rnacentral:rRNA from 1 species